UAGGGAAUCUUCCGCAAUGGACGCAAGUCUGACGGAGCAACGCCGCGUGAGUGAAGAAGGUCUUCGGAUCGUAAAGCUCUGUUGUUAGAGAAGAACAGCGCAUAGAGUAACUGUUAUGCGUGUGACGGUAUCUAACCAGAAAGCCACGGCUAACUACGUGCCAGCAGCCGCGGUAAUACGUAGGUGGCGAGCGUUGUCCGGAUUUAUUGGGCGUAAAGGGAGUGUAGGCGGUCUUUUAAGUCUGAUGUGAAAGCCCACGGCUCAACCGUGGAGGGUCAUUGGAAACUGGGAGACUUGAGUGCAGAAGAGGAGAGCGGAAUUCCAUGUGUAGCGGUGAAAUGCGUAGAUAUAUGGAGGAACACCAGUGGCGAAGGCGGCUCUCUGGUCUGUAACUGACGCUGAGGCUCGAAAGCGUGGGGAGCAAACAGGAUUAGAUACCCUGGUAGUCCACGCCGUAAACGAUGAGUGCUAAGUGUUGGAGGGGUUCCACCCUUCAGUGCUGGAGUUAACGCAAUAAGCACUCCGCCUGGGGAGUACGGCCGCAAGGCUG
rnacentral:rRNA from 1 species